rnacentral:rRNA from 1 species
AUUGAACGCUGGCGGCAGGCCUAACACAUGCAAGUCGAGCGGAUCGGCGGACGGGUGAGUAAUGCCUAGGUAUCUGCCUGGUAGUGGGGGAUAACGUCCGGAAACGGGCGCUAAUACCGCUUACUAUCAGAUGCACCUAGGUCGGAUUAGCUAUUUGGUGGGGUAAAGGCCUACCAAGGCGAAGAUCCGUAACUGGACUGAGAGGAUGAUCAUUCACACUGGAACGGAGAAACGGCCCAGACGCCUACGGGAGGCAGCAGUGGGGAAUAUUGGACAAUGGGCGAAAGCCUGAUCCAGCCAUGCCGCGUGUGUGAAGAAGGUCUUCGGAUUGUAAAGCACUUUAAGUUGGGAGGCGUUACCAACAGAAUAAGCACCGGCUAACUUCGUGCCAGCAGCCGCGGUAAUUC